CACUCGUGCGCAGGCGCGCGGGCGCAGGCGCCGUCCGCUUGCGCACCGUACCGCGCACGAGCGGUAACGGUCGGAUGGUGCCGUUGGUAACUUUUGCGGUUCCCAUCGUGGGUGACAAAACCUUGUUGUUGUGGGAGCUGAGCUGUGGACCCACGGCCGAGGCCUUGGUCGUCUCGGCACCAGACAUAAGGCGGUUCGACAUAAUACGCUUGCCCUGAACAGCUCCAGAUGCCAAGAAUUGGCAAAUUACUACUUUGGUUUCCAUGGGUGGUCAAAAAGGAUCAUCAGGGUGGUGUUGCCCUCCCACGAGUGCAGGAGUCCUGGAGUUGGCAUGGCUGAGGAACCUUUGGGGUCAUUAUCAUUCCUUAUGAAAAGGAAGGUAACCCAGAAGCUUGCUAUUCAGAAGGCUAUGACAGAUGCAUUCCGGAAACUGCUGAUUGUGGUUUUAGACUCUGAAAAUAGACUGCUCGGAGACCCACGUGCAGCUGGCCUGUGCCAACCUCAUCUCUAGAACAGGCCUCCUGAUGAAGCUUCUCAGCAAGCAGCAAGAAGUAAAGGUGUCCAAAGCGGAAUGGGAUACGGACCAGUGGAAAAGUGACAACUCUGUCAGUGAGAGCACAGAAGCCCAGAGUGAGCAGAAAGAGCAGGAGUCAAGCGAGCUCCCUCUGGAGGAAGCCAGCCAUCAUGUAGUGAGGACAUUCAAUCAAGUAGCAGGUGGACAGGCCCAUGCAGGGAGGAAAGGAGGCCUCCCUCUAACAACCAGCACAACCCUGGCAGCCAGGUAAGGGAGUGAACCAUCUUGGAAGUGGACCCUGCAGCCUCAGUCCAGCCAUCAGAUGACUGCAGCCCUGGCCGAUAUCUUGAGGAACUCGUGAGAGACCCAGAGCCAGAACUGCCCAAGCUAUUCCCCUAAAGGCUUGACUCAGAAAUUGUGAGGAAUAAAUGUUUAUUGUUGUUUUGAGCCAC